AUGGCUCCAGGUAAUCAAACAUUUUAUUAAUCUGUAUAUACUUGUUCCCAUUUCUUCAAUAGUUUUCCUAGUCAAAAAAGUAACUGACUAGAUUCAUAGAAGGGAAGUGGAUUCCAAUUAGUUCAACUGGUAAAAUCUUUUGCUGACGAGUAAGAGAUUAGAGGUUCAAACCUUGCUUACAAUAAAAAAAUUGAAACAAUAUGGGUUGUUGUCACAUGGUAAACUAUUUUCCAUCCUAUAAUACUUUUCAAAGACAAUGUUCUCAAAAUAGAAAGUAUUUUCCUCAUAUCUCUACUAUGUUCUUAUUUAGAUUAUACAUUGAACAUAAAUGAUUUUUACACUUAUGGUAUGGAAAUGUUUCAAAUAACAUUUAUUUUGUUUCAUUUUCUACUCAUUUUAAUUUGUAGAACUUGCACUCACAAUGAGGGUCACAGACAAGUGUGAUGUUUAUAGUUUUGGAGUGGUGGCAUUGGAAGUCAUGAUGGGAAGGCAUCCAGGGGAACUUCUAGCUUCCUUGUCAUCAUCAUCAUCGACUACAACAACCUUAUUUGAAAACCAGGAAUUGCUUUUGAAGGAUAUUCUAGACCAACGCCUUCCUCCUCCCACAGGUCAAUUGGCAGAGGCAGUGGUGUUUGUUGUCACCAUAGCCUUAGCAUGUACGCGUAGCACUCCAAAAUCACGACCAAAUAUGCGUUUUGUUGCACAAGAACUAUCAGCUCAAACCCACACUUUUCAGUCUGAGCCGUUUGGCAUGAUUACUAUUAGCAAGCUAAAAGGCUUUCAAAAAUAAAACACUCUUUGGCUAGUGAGUGUGUUUUCUGGAUAUGGCCUAGGAAGGGUUGUGGCUAUGCUUACUAAAUCCUAGUUCAUAAUCUUAGGAAGUUAGGGUCAAAGUUUGCUUGAAGGGGCUUGUGUAAUUUUUUUUUUUUCUUAGUUUAUGCAAGUGCUGAGUGAAUAAGAUGUUCAAUCUCUAGGCUCAAAAUAAGAUUUCUUAUGGACUGGGAAAAAAUAUAUAUAUAAUUUUUAUUAUUUUCUAUGAUUGAAUAGUAAGAUCUAGAGCAUUCAAGGCUGUAACCUGUAACCUGUAAACAACUUUAUGGCUGUAGAACAUCUCAAUCGUUGUGUCAAGGUAUGUGGACAGUAUCUUAAACUUUUUAGACAUGUAAUGUCUUUUGGCAAGAAUGCAGAGUCUAAUUCAAUAUAGCAAUUCACUAAGCCUAUAAAUAAGUUCUCCUCCUCCUCCUAUUUGGAUAUAUACACAUUUAGUUUAUAUAGAAAAGCUUAUUCGCAUUCUUUGUGUUCUUUACUCCUACUCUUUACAUAAACAUAGUAUCGGAAGUAAUGAUAGGAAGGCACCUGGGGGAACUCCUAGUGUCCCUAUCACCAUCGUUGACGUCAACUACAACAACUUUAAUGGACAACCAAGCAUUGAUUUUGAAGGAUGUUAUAGAUCAACAGGUCAAUUGGCAGAGGCAGUGGUGAUUGCAGUCACCAUAACCUUCGUAUGCCUGCGUACCACUCCAGAGUGGCGACCAACCAUGCAUUCUGUUGCACAAGAACUAUCAGAUCGAACCCACGCUUUUCUAUCUGAGCCGUUUGACAUGAUUACCAUUAGCAAGCUAAUAGACCAUCAAAAAUAAAACAAUCUAUAUCUAGUGAGUGAUUUUUGGUUUAGGCCUAGGAAGGGUUGUGACUAAUGCUUAUUAAAUCCUAGUUCAAAAUCUAAGGCCCAUUUGAUAGAGCAUUUCAAACACCCAUUUUCAGUUUUUAAUCAGCAUUACACACUCUUUUACACAUUUUUCACCCACACUCAUUUCAAAAAACUACAAACAAUAUUACUCAAAAUCUUCUACCAAACGGCCCUAAAUAUCAAAACUUGCUUGAAAUGGGUUGUAUCAUUUAUGUGCUUAGUCAAUAAGAUGUUCAAUCUCUAGGCUCCAAAUAACAUUGUUAUGGAUUGGGAAAAAUAUAUAUAUAUAUAUAUAUAUUAUUGUCAUUAGUUGCUAGAAUUGAAUAGUAAGAAUUUUUAGCAUUCAAGACUGUAAACAACGUAACGUUGACAGAACAUUUCAGUCAUUGUGUGUAAAGGUACCUGGACAAUAUCUUAAAACAUUUUGGGCAUUGCAAUAUCUUUCGGCAAGUCUAUGUAUCGAUUGAUUUCUGAUUUUUCUUGUUCUCCCGUCAUCUAUCCAAGCUCUCACCCCCUCAUCUUUCUCACCACUUCCAAACCAUUGUUGUGUUAGAGAACCCCAACUGCACCUUCCACUUUUUAUUUCCCAAACCGCUGUUGUAGAUAAGAGAGAGAAACUCCCAUCUUUGGAACCUUGGUGGGUGUUUUGAAAUGCCUUCCUAACAACUGAAUUUUCAGUCAACUGAACCACUGCGUUACUGGGGAUUGGGGUUGGUGGAAAUCAAGGGAAGAUGUCCAAAACUCAAAAUACGCUUUUCAAUGGUUGUGUACUUGUGUUUCCAAUUUUCCAUUCGGGAUUCCAAUGGGCAACUACGCCAAUUGCUUGAUAAAAUGUGUGAAAGGCUCUUAUCUUAUCAUAAAAAAAUAAAAUAAAAUUUGUGUAAGGCUCUCUUUUUGGUUGCCAAAUGUUCACUUUCGCAACAAAACUUAAAGCGACAGUUUGUCACUAAGGCUGUGUUUGUUUCGUGGAAAACAUUUUCCGGAAAAUACAUAUUUUUCGGAAAUGCAAUUUUCCGGAAAAGGAAAAUAUUUUUAAGUGUUUGGUUGAAUUAUGAAAAUUGUUGUGAAAAAUAUUUUCAUGUGUUUGGAUGUAUUCUAAAAAUGCUAUUUUUCAAAAAAAUUUCCACAUUUUCUCAGCAUCCAAACAAAUUUUAUUACAAAAAAUUUCAACAUCACACCCAAUUCAACAACAAAUUCCGGCAACAAAAACACAACACAACAACAACAACAACAACAACAACAAUAAAUUCUGGCAACAACAAUCAGUUCAUCCAAAAAAACAACAACAACAACAACACAACACAAAUUCCGGCAACAACAACGCAAAUUCCGGCAACAACGCAAAUCGAGUCGUCGACGAGAUCGAGAAAGAGAGAGCGAUGGAUCGCCGGCUCUGGUUCUAGGUUUGGGUUAAGCGAUGGGUUGUCUGGGUUUAGGUCGGGUGUGGGUUUAACGUGACGGCGACGGCGUGUGGGUCAAGUGUGGGUUUGAAGGCGACGGCGACGGCGUGUGGGUUCGGAGCGAUCUGGAGCUCAGAGUCGAUCGUUGCUUGGAGUCGGAGCGAUCGGAGCAAUCUGGAGCUCGAUCGUUGCUUGGAGGCAGAGCGAUCUGGAGCUCGAUCAUUGCUUGGAGUCGAUCUGGAGCUCGGAGUGAUCUGGAGCUUGAUCGGAGUUCGCUGGCAAUCUGGAGCAUCCGAGUUCUCUCUUUUUUCUCACUGCGUUCUCUCUUCUUUCUCUCGCUCCCUUUCUCUGUUGCGUUUUCCAGAAAUCGUUUGAAGGUAAAAUAAAAACGUAAAACGAUUUCCGGGUCAAAGCCACAUUUUACAUGGUCAACGGAAAAUAAUUUUCGGAAAAUGCUAUUUUCAAAGCCAACCAAACAGCCUAUUUUACGGAAAAUGAUUUCCUGAAAUCAUUUUCACCCAAAACAAACACAGCCUAAUUCACUUUAGUGGUGUUAAAUAUUUUAGUUUUUAACACUUAAAAAAAUUACUUUAUAUAUUAAGUUACCAUUUCACUCCUUAAAAAUAAAAAAUAAAAAUAUUUCACUACUCGCUCCACGUCAAUAUUCUUAUUUAUAUAACAAAAUUAAAUACUAUUUAUUUAUUUUCCUCUCUCCUUCACUAUCUCUUCUCCAAAUCAAUUCUCACCACAAUCACGGUGACCUCAAGCUCAACCAAAAAACUAGCAACUAAUAAAAUUAAAAAAAAAAAAAAAAACCAUGGAGCUACAAGCCUCACCGUCAUCAUUGUCGUCUUCAUUGAAGAAAGAAGAGCUGCAAGCUAAAAUCAAGGGCCAAAAUCAUAGAGCUACAAUCCCCAAAAAAAAAAAAAAUCGUCGUCAUUGUUGUUGUCAUCAUCAGAGAAAGAAGAGAGAAAAGCGAGACCAAGCGAGGUACAUGGUGGCGGCGGCGAGGGCUCUGCAGCCAACGCCGAAGAGGAGAAUCACGACGACACUUAG
rnacentral:sRNA from 1 species